rnacentral:rRNA from 1 species
GUGUCAGCCGCCGCGGUAAGACGAACCGUGCGAACGUUGUUCGGAAUCACUGGGCUUAAAGGGCGCGUAGGCGGGUUCGCAAGUCAGGGGUGAAAUCUUUCAGCUUAACUGGAAAACAGCCCCUGAUACUGCGAGUCUCGAGGGAGGUAGGGGCAUGUGGAACUUCCGGUGGAGCGGUGAAAUGCGUAGAUAUCGGAAGGAACGCCGGUGGCGAAAGCGACGUGCUGGACCUCUUCUGACGCUGAGGCGCGAAAGCUAGGGGAGCAAACGGGAUUAGAUACCCCUGUAGUCC